UUAAUUUUUAUCAUUUAUUUAAUUUUUUAUCCUUUAGUUAAUAUAUUAUUUAAUUAUAUAAAAAAUAGUAAUAAAAAUUUAACCGUCAAAGCACUAUCUAAGCAUUGCCUAGACGGUAGACGAUCACUAAUCGAACUAUCACCGUUUACCAUCAUUUACAACUAGUAUUUUCUUAAUUAUAUUUUACACUAGUGUCUGUAUGUAUGUAUGUAUGUAUGUGCUGAAGUGUGUCUAAAAAUAACUCGUGAUCUUUGAUUGGUUAGUAUGAAGGAGGAGUUCUGGGAGAGGAGCCUUUCAUUUCUAAUCGACAAAGACGGGCGAGUGUUAUCAAAUUUCUUCUGACAUGCAACAUAGAUUCAGCUGUGUGGAUAUGUUAUAGAGCUAAAUGUGGUUGGAAAGGUCAUAUACCGGUUUAUGGAGAUGCCAAUACAACAUGCGCUGAAUAAACAUGUCAAUCAUUGUGACAACUCUUUAUUAAAGAUCCAAAAAGGCUGAGUGGGUGUGUUUAUUGUUUAAUAACACACAAGUGUUCUGAUAAAUACAGUGGAUAUGCCUGCAUUUAGUGUAGCAUCUAUCUGUAUUGUUUGUCUUCAAAG